AAAAAAGGUAAGCUACUAAGAGCGAAUGGUGGAUGCCUUGACUGGUAAAGGCGAUGAAGGACGUACUAGACUGCGAUAAGCUACGGGGAGCUGUCAAGAAGCUUUGAUCCGUAGAUUUCCGAAUGGGGCAACCCAAUGUAUAGAGAUAUACAUUACCUAUAUAGGAGCGAACGAGGGGAAUUGAAACAUCUUAGUACCCUCAGGAAAAGAAAUCAAUAGAGAUUGCGUCAGUAGCGGCGAGCGAAAGCGCAAGAGGGCAAACCCAGUGCUUGCACUGGGGGUUGUAGGACUGCAAUGUGCAAGAGGUGAGUUUAGCAGAACAUUCUGGAAAGUAUAGCCAUAGAGGGUGAUAGUCCCGUAUGCGAAAAACAAACCUUAGCUAGCAGUAUCCUGAGUAGGGCGGGACACGAGAAAUCCUGUCUGAAGCUGGGUCGACCACGAUCCAACCCUAAAUACUAAUACCAGAUCGAUAGUGCACAAGUACCGUGAGGGAAAGGUGAAAAGAACUGAGGUGAUCAGAGUGAAAUAGAACCUGAAACCAUUUGCUUACAAUCAUUCAGAGCCCUAUGUAGCAAUACAGGGUGAUGGACUGCCUUUUGCAUAAUGAGCCUGCGAGUUGUGGUGUCUGGCAAGGUUAAGCAAACGCGAAGCCGUAGCGAAAGCGAGUCUGAAUAGGGCGCUUAGUCAGAUGCUGCAGACCCGAAACGAAGUGAUCUAUCCAUGAGCAAGUUGAAGCUAGUGUAAGAACUAGUGGAGGACUGAACCCAUAGGCGUUGAAAAGCCCCGGGAUGACUUGUGGAUAGGGGUGAAAGGCCAAUCAAACUUCGUGAUAGCUGGUUCUCUCCGAAAUAUAUUUAGGUAUAGCGUUGUGUCGUAAUAUAAGGGGGUAGAGCACUGAAUGGGCUAGGGCAUACACCAAUGUACCAAACCCUAUCAAACUCCGAAUACCUUAUAUGUAAUCACAGCAGUCAGGCGGCGAGUGAUAAAAUCCGUCGUCAAGAGGGAAACAACCCAGACUACCAGCUAAGGUCCCUAAAUCUUACUUAAGUGGAAAACGAUGUGAAGUUACUUAAACAACCAGGAGGUUGGCUUAGAAGCAGCCAUCCUUUAAAGAAAGCGUAAUAGCUCACUGGUCUAGUGAUUUUGCGCGGAAAAUAUAACGGGGCUAAAGUAAGUACCGAAGCUGUAGACUUGCACACAACUUAGAUUAUUUAAGUUUAGAAUAUGAGAAACUAAGUUAUAUGUUUAGUUAUAUUUUUACUGAUUUUUAUAGAGUAAAGAUAGAAAUAAAACUUAGUAAAAUCAGUAAAAAUAUUCUUAGACUAAAGUUAAGUAGUUUAAGUUGUGUGCAAGUGGUAGGAGAGCGUUCUAUUUGCGUCGAAGGUAUACCGGUAAGGAGUGCUGGAGCGAAUAGAAGUGAGCAUGCAGGCAUGAGUAGCGAUAAUUAAUGUGAGAAUCAUUAACGCCGUAAACCCAAGGUUUCCUACGCGAUGCUCGUCAUCGUAGGGUUAGUCGGGUCCUAAGUCGAGUCCGAAAGGGGUAGACGAUGGCAAAUUGGUUAAUAUUCCAAUACCAACAUUAGUGUGCGAUGGAAGGACGCUUAGGGCUAAGGGGGCUAGCGGAUGGAAGUGCUAGUCUAAGGUCGUAGGAGGUUGUACAGGCAAAUCCGUAUAACAAUACUCCGAGAACUGAAAGGCUUUUUGAAGUCUUCGGAUGGAUAGAAGAACCCCUGAUGCCGUCGAGCCAAGAAAAGUUUCUAAGUUUAGCUAAUGUUGCCCGUACCGUAAACCGACACAGGUGGGUGGGAUGAGUAUUCUAAGGCGCGUGGAAGAACUCUCUUUAAGGAACUCUGCAAAAUAGCACCGUAUCUUCGGUAUAAGGUGUGGUUAGCUUUGUAUUAGGAUUUACUCCGAAAGCAAGGAAACUUACAACAAAGAGUCCCUCCCGACUGUUUACCAAAAACACAGCACUCUGCUAACUCGUAAGAGGAUGUAUAGGGUGUGACGCCUGCCCGGUGCUCGAAGGUUAAUUGAUGGGGUUAGCAUUAGCGAAGCUCUUGAUCGAAGCCCGAGUAAACGGCGGCCGUAACUAUAACGGUCCUAAGGUAGCGAAAUUCCUUGUCGGUUAAAUACCGACCUGCAUGAAUGGCGUAACGAGAUGGGAGCUGUCUCAAAGAGGGAUCCAGUGAAAUUGUAGUGGAGGUGAAAAUUCCUCCUACCCGCGGCAAGACGGAAAGACCCCGUGGACCUUUACUACAGCUUGACACUGCUACUUGGAUAAGAAUGUGCAGGAUAGGUGGGAGGCUUUGAGUAUAUGACGCCAGUUGUAUAUGAGCCAUUGUUGAGAUACCACUCUUUCUUAUUUGGGUAGCUAACCAGCUUGAGUUAUCCUCAAGUGGGACAAUGUCUGGUGGGUAGUUUGACUGGGGCGGUCGCCUCCCAAAUAAUAACGGAGGCUUACAAAGGUUGGCUCAGAACGGUUGGAAAUCGUUCGUAGAGUAUAAAGGUAUAAGCCAGCUUAACUGCAAGACAUACAAGUCAAGCAGAGACGAAAGUCGGUCUUAGUGAUCCGGUGGUUCUGUGUGGAAGGGCCAUCGCUCAAAGGAUAAAAGGUACCCCGGGGAUAACAGGCUGAUCUCCCCCAAGAGCUCACAUCGACGGGGAGGUUUGGCACCUCGAUGUCGGCUCAUCGCAUCCUGGGGCUGGAGCAGGUCCCAAGGGUAUGGCUGUUCGCCAUUUAAAGCGGUACGCGAGCUGGGUUCAGAACGUCGUGAGACAGUUCGGUCCCUAUCUGCCGUGGGCGUAAGAAGAUUGAAGAGAUUUGACCCUAGUACGAGAGGACCGGGUUGAACAAACCACUGGUGUAGCUGUUGUUCUGCCAAGAGCAUCGCAGCGUAGCUAAGUUUGGAAAGGAUAAACGCUGAAAGCAUCUAAGCGUGAAGCCAACUCUAAGAUGAAUCUUCUCUAAGCUCUCUAGAAGACUACUAGUUUGAUAGGCUGGGUGUGUAAUGGAUGAAAGUCCUUUAGCUGACCAGUACUAAUAGAGCGUUUGGCUUAUCUUUAAUAAAGCAU
rnacentral:rRNA from 1 species